AUUGAACGCUGGCGGCAGGCCUAACACAUGCAAGUCGAACGGUAACAGGAAACAGCUUGCUGUUUCGCUGACGAGUGGCGGACGGGUGAGUAAUGUCUGGGAAACUGCCUGAUGGAGGGGGAUAACUACUGGAAACGGUAGCUAAUACCGCAUAACGUCGCAAGACCAAAGAGGGGGACCUUCGGGCCUCUUGCCAUCGGAUGUGCCCAGAUGGGAUUAGCUAGUAGGUGGGGUAACGGCUCACCUAGGCGACGAUCCCUAGCUGGUCUGAGAGGAUGACCAGCCACACUGGAACUGAGACACGGUCCAGACUCCUACGGGAGGCAGCAGUGGGGAAUAUUGCACAAUGGGCGCAAGCCUGAUGCAGCCAUGCCGCGUGUAUGAAGAAGGCCUUCGGGU
rnacentral:rRNA from 1 species